rnacentral:lncRNA from 1 species
AUGACUAUUUUAAACUGUUUUUUCAUUUCUGUAGAUUGUACAGAGCUGCACCAGCAGAUAAGACUCCAUGAAACCAAGAUGCGUUUAUCCCUCGUGGUGGCUUCAAGUAGCACAUUCACAUUGAAGAGCAUUCCAGUUCUGCUUCCUACAUGCUGCGGGUCAGUACCAUUUCCCAUUUGCCUGUGGACACCUCCCUGGUUGUUACCAGCUGCCUCGUGCUUUUGUGGUAGCUGCCUGUACGAUUGUGUCUCUUGUGAUAGAGCUCUAAUCUAGUAUAAAACAUCUAGUUUGGCACCUGGUGAUAAUUUAUCCUAUGAAAUAUCUGGAUGUAUUUUUUGCCAGUAAAAAUUCUGAAAGCCAAUUCAUUUGGCUGAUGGAGUGGCACUGCUGAAAUGUUCAAUGUGAGAGGAAAGCCAGGCAUGUGUCCAGGGUUUCUAGGUGAAUCGGCCCAAUUCCCAGGAGCUGUGCCAUGUGCAGUGAUUCUAAGUCGCACAGAUGGUUUUCAGCACUCCCAGCCUCCUGCAGGAAGUGUCAGUGAUGGCCUUUGCUUUUGGUUUACACAAACCCUAUUACCUAGCAAGAGCAAGUUGUAAAUCAGUUCUUGACAAGUCUGAAAUGAAUGAAUCCCUUUCCUGUUAAAGCAGGUGGCCUUCCAGAGCAUAUAAAUGUCUACCGGGUUCGCUGUUCUGGAUCAGUGUCUGAUUUGCUUAUGCUUGGUUUCCUUAUGGAGAUGAGUCAGAGACUAAAGAGUUUCAGUCUAGUGAGGAGCAGAGUACCCAUUUUAAGUAGCUGUGCUUUCUUGAUUUCUCCUGAGAGGAGAUAGCAGGGACUGAACGUUUCAGCUGAUACCGUUGAUAUUUCACACAGUAAUCUUUGAGAUGGAAAGUAUCAGAACAAAAUUACAAGCCCCUAC